rnacentral:rRNA from 1 species
CCUACGGGAGGCAGCAGUGGGGAAUAUUGGACAAUGGGGGCAACCCUGAUCCAGCCAUGCCGCGUGUGUGAAGAAGGCCCUCGGGUUGUAAAGCACUUUCAGUGAGGAAGAACGCCUGGUGGUUAAUACCCAUCAGGAAAGACAUCACUCACAGAAGAAGCACCGGCUAACUCCGUGCCAGCAGCCGCGGUAAUACGGAGGGUGCGAGCGUUAAUCGGAAUUACUGGGCGUAAAGCGCGCGUAGGUGGCUUGAUAAGCCGGUUGUGAAAGCCCCGGGCUCAACCUGGGAACGGCAUCCGGAACUGUCAAGCUAGAGGGCAGGAGAGGAAGGUAGAAUUCCCGGUGUAGCGGUGAAAUGCGUAGAGAUCGGGAGGAAUACCAGUGGCGAAGGCGGCCUUCUGGACUGACACUGACACUGAGGUGCGAAAGCGUGGGUAGCAAACAGGAUUAGAUACCCCUGUAGUC